UACAGAGGGUGCGAGCGUUAAUCGGAAUUACUGGGCGUAAAGCGCGCGUAGGCGGCUUUGCAAGUCGGGUGUGAAAUCCCCAGGCUUAACCUGGGAACUGCGUCUGAUACUGGAAGGCUCGAGUUCGGGAGAGGAAUGUGGAAUUCCAGGUGUAGCGGUGAAAUGCGUAGAUAUCUGGAGGAACACCGGUGGCGAAGGCGGCAUUCUGGACCGAAACUGACGCUGAGGCGCGAAAGCCAGGGGAGCAAACGGG
rnacentral:rRNA from 1 species